UACGUAGGGGGCAAGCGUUGUCCGGAUUUAUUGGGCGUAAAGAGCUCGUAGGUGGUUCGGUAAGUCGGAUGUGAAAUCUCCAGGCUCAACCUGGAGGGUCAUUCGAUACUGCCGUGACUAGAGUUCGGUAGGGGAGUGUGGAAUUCCUGGUGGAGCGGUGGAAUGCGCAGAUAUCAGGAGGAACACCAACGGCGAAGGCAGCUCGCUGGGACGGUACUGACGCUGAGACGCGAAAGCGUGGGGAGCGAACAGG
rnacentral:rRNA from 1 species